UGGGGAAUUUUGGACAAUGGGCGAAAGCCUGAUCCAGCAAUGCCGCGUGUGUGAAGAAGGCCUUCGGGUUGUAAAGCACUUUUGUCCGGAAAGAAAUCCUUGGCUCUAAUACAGUCGGGGGAUGACGGUACCGGAAGAAUAAGCACCGGCUAACUACGUGCCAGCAGCCGCGGUAAUACGUAGGGUGCAAGCGUUAAUCGGAAUUACUGGGCGUAAAGCGUGCGCAGGCGGUUUGCUAAGACCGAUGUGAAAUCCCCGGGCUCAACCUGGGAACUGCAUUGGUGACUGGCAGGCUAGAGUAUGGCAGAGGGGGGUAGAAUUCCACGUGUAGCAGUGAAAUGCGUAGAGAUGUGGAGGAAUACCGAUGGCGAAGGCAGCCCCCUGGGCCAAAUACUGGCGCUCAUGCACGAAAGCGUGGGGAGCAAACAGGAUUAGAUACCCUGGUAGUCCACGCCCUAAACGAUGUCAACUAGUUGUUGGGGAUUCAUUUCCUUAGUAACGUAGCUAACGCGUGAAGUUGACCGCCUGGGGAGUACGGUCGCAAGAUUAAAACUCAAAGGAAUUGACGGGGUCAUAGCUGUUUCCU
rnacentral:rRNA from 1 species